rnacentral:misc_RNA from 1 species
AACUCUCUUUCCACUAGUUAGUGGGAGACUUGUCGGUUGUGCUGCCCUCACCGGCGGUACUCUGAUCAAAAGUAGUAGGUCUUGAUCAGGCUAGUGGCCUGGGACAUUGUGUGCUAGAGACGUCGCUUCGGCUGACUGUCUUCUCACAGUGCGUCCUAGGCUAUCCAAAGCUAGCUUGGUUAAUAAGGCUUUACAGUGCCUCUGGUCCACGUCAAACACGGAUCUAUGGGUCACAACUCCAAA